UGGGGAAUAUUGGACAAUGGAGGAAACUCUGAUCCAGCAAUUCUGUGUGUGUGAAGAAGGUUUUAGGACUGUAAAACACUUUUAGUAGGGAAGAAAAAAAUGACGGUACCUACAGAAGAAGCAACGGCUAAAUACGUGCCAGCAGCCGCGGUAAUACGUAUGUUGCGAGCGUUAUCCGGAAUUAUUGGGCUUAAAGGGCAUCUAGGCGGUAAGACAAGUUGAAGGUGAAAACCUGUGGCUCAACCAUAGGCUUGCCUACAAAACUGUUGAACUAGAGUACUGGAAAGGUGGGUGGAACUACACGAGUAGAGGUGAAAUUCGUAGAUAUGUGUAGGAAUGCCGAUGAUGAAGAUAACUCACUGGACAGAAACUGACGUUGAAGUGCGAAAGCUAGGGGAGCAAACAGG
rnacentral:rRNA from 1 species